AGCCAGCUCGUUGUUCAUGAUAAGCCGGUUUGAAACAUGUUAGAGAUCGAUCACUCCUUUAGUUAACGAGUCGAACACGAGCUGAAUUCUUCAGCUCGAAAUUUCAACGAGCUGAACAUAAGUUGGGGUCUGCUAACUCGUGUUAAUUAGGCUCGAUAUAGCUCGAAUAUAAAUAUAAAUAGGGUUAAUUUCAAACAGAUUCCUACAAAUAUAAUGAAUGAUAAAUAUAUUUCUAUAAAGUUCAACUUUCAUAUGUUGUCCCUACAAAAGUUUUAAUAUUUUUAAAUAUGUUUCUCUGGUUUGUUACCGUUAGAGAGCGUUAGAGAACCGUUUAUAUUUUUAAUUUUGCCAUUACAAAUAUACCCCUUCAAAAAUCAUAACAAUAUAAUAUAAGAAGGGUACAGAGUUAAGUAUUUAACCUAUGAUUAACUAAAUUUUUCUAACGAAUUAUAACGGUAGAGACAUAUUUGAAAAUAUCAGCUCUUUUGCAAAGUUAACGUAUAAAAAUUAAACUUUGUAGAAAUAUAUUUGCUAUUUACUAUAUUUGUAGGGGACUGUAUAAAAUUAAUCUAUAUAAAUAUUAUAAGUUUUUAUUAUUUAGUUUUUAGACCAACCAAGAUACAAAGAGACCUAUAUUUCAUGAAUUAUGAUUAUUAGAUGUCUGAACACGUGAUAUUUAUUAUGAUUAAUUGAUUAACUUUUGCUGGCAGCAACUAUGAAAAAAUUAUUGAUUUCAAAUCCUGAUGGACUGACUGACUGGACGUGCCAGCCAGCUAACAGCUUGCUCCAGAAUGUGCUGCUGUCACAAAACAGACUUCCAACCACCAACUACAGUUCUUGCACAUUAGUAUACGUUGUAAGACUACCGUAACAACACUAAUACUAGAUGCAUCCGUUAUCACUGUUAGAUAUUACAAAUAUUGUUUUGAUUCGUUAAACUAAUCUAAUGAUAGCAUGCUUCUACUUUAUUCAUUUUUUUUAGAAAUAAAUUUAGUUGAAAACGUGAAACAAUUAGUUUUCGAACUUGAGAUGCGUAUGAGCCAGGAGUGUCAAACAGAAAUUUUUUUUUUUUCCUUUCAAAGUGUGAAGGUCGUUGGAGCGUAGCGGUCAUGAACUACCAAGUUGAUCUAUCCUACAUCGAUCUCCUUUUCUUAUUUAGGUAUAUAUCAACUAGCUAGUAAUCAGCAAUCUACUUUAAUUCCUCAAAAACUUUCUUUAGGAGCUACUGUAUUUUUAACUACAUGCAUCUCUAACUAUACCUCAUUUAUAAUUACGUCGAAUUAAACAGCCUCUAAAAAUUUCCUUUUGUAUCCUAGAGGAUCUACACCUGCCUAAAGAGAGAGGGAUAAAUUGUGUGAACCUGGGAGAGCCAGUGAAGGCUAGAGGAAGAGUACACAAAAUGUAAGCUUUUGCUCAGAAACAACCUCCCAUAGAAAGAUCCAGCAACCACUGAUAUGAAGCAAUGCACUUUUUGUUGCUCACUCUCUUGUAAAUUCACUUCUCUAAGCCUGUAAAACUCAGGCAAUAAGUCAAACAUGGUGUUGAAGUCAUUUCCCGGGAGGUCGUUGAGGAAGACUUGGAUCUCCGGUGGCCUAUGGUUGAGCUGACGGCUUGCUUGUGCGAUCGCCUCGACGAUUUCGGAGACCAUGAACAGUGCAUUCGGACCUACCGAGCAGCCUAGGUCGGCGAUGGUCAUCUGUGUGGGGAAACCCGUCGCUCGGAACGAGCUGACGGCUGCCUCCUGUCUCGCGGUGUUCGUCGAAUCUAGUAUGAUCUUCUGCUUAAAAGGAAUUUAGAAUUUGUUAGUUAGCGAGAGAAGUGAGUUUCUACGUAUGUUUGGUUUAGCUUUCGGAACUGCUUCUUCAGAACUUAUGGGAUAUAGUACAUACAUUUAAAAUUAAGCUAGGGCAUGUGCAUGCUACCAACAAGCAAAUUAUAGAAGCAUCAUAUGCGCAUGCAAAAAAAACCUUUUCUUAAUCUCCAAAACAAAAUAAAACACAGAACAUGUAUAUAGUUAAAUUGGUUGAAGUAAAAGGCCAAAAAUAAGUUUUUAAGCCUGAAAGAUAAAAGUUUCUAUUUAGGGUUUUAGCGAGGAAGAAAUGUAAUGAGAAACUUUUCAACAAUUUUCUUCAGGAAAGUAACUCUACACAAGCUCCGGCCCGACCAAAUUAACAAGCACGAUCAAUAUACAUAUACUUAUAUAAAGGAUGUGGCUAGAUCCAAACUUGGAUGGUAGAAUUUUUGGCAUAGCUCAUGUCAUCAACUCCACUGUUCAUGUGUAGAACACUUUGCACCUCCAUGGAGCUAGUAGCUAUAGCUACAAAGAGUAAAUAGUUGUAGAGAAAGAUAUAUGGAGCACCUUGAUGAAAUAAGUUAGGCUUUUAUAGAGUUCAUGGUUUAUACUAUAGUGUACUAGUUAAGGGGCCCCGCGCUUCGCGGCGGGAAGACAAUAUAAUAUUAAAUUAUUAUAAAUAUUAACAUUAUUUUUUUUAUUAUACAUUAAUAUUUUUAAAUAUUAUUUAUCGCAGACCUUCCGCGGGAUGCGGACUGCAGUUCGAACCUGUAAGGAUCCCCGAUUAAUAAGUUCGAUGCGGCGGAAAGAUAAUACAAUAGUAAAUUAUUAUAACUAUUAAUAUCACUUUAAAUUAAAAUUUUAAUUUUGAAUGCAAGUUCAAAUAUCAAAAUCAAAAUAAAAAAUUAAAGUUUGAAAUCAAAAUCUACAAAAUUUAAGUUUGAAAUCAAAAUUUAAAAAAUUUAAGUUUGAAAUCAAAAUUUAGAUUCAAUUUAAAAUUCAAUUUAAAAUUCAAUUUAAAAUUUGAAUUCAACUUAUAAUUCAAAAUUCUAAUUACUAAUUAGUUCAAAAUUUUAAUUUUAAGAUUAGAUUCUGGAUUUAAAUUUAAAUUUAAAAUUUUAUAUUUUGGGACUAAAGUGAAAAAUUUGUAAAUUUAGAGACCAAAAUGUAAUGCACAAAAAAAACUAAAGUCUAUUUUUGGUCCCUAAAGUCUCUAAAAAUUAAAAAUUAAAUUGAAAUAAAAGCACUAUUUUUUAUUAUUUCCAAAAUAAUAUUAUUAUAUAUUUAUAAAUAAAAUAUUAUAUAACAACAUAUUUACAUAAAAUAAAAUAAAAUUAUAUAUUAAUAUAUAUAUAUACAUAUAUAUAUAUAAGCACGUAUUUCAAAUUUGGGUCUUUGACAGACCAAUUUUUUGGCGGAAAAAAAAAUGAUUCUUUUCUUACGUAAAAUAAAUAACGUAAUGAAACAAACUUUUAAUUUCUAUUUAUCUCUAAAAUAGAAAAAAUAAUAUACUUAUCCAAAUUUUUACCAACUGAAAGAUAUCUACUGUGAAUCUAUAUUUUAAUUAAAAAUUUAUUUAAUUUUUUUAUCUCUAAAAUAGAAAAGAAAUUUAUGCUUAUCCAAAUUUUUGCCAGAAUAUCUACUGUAAAUUUAUAUUUCAAUUCAAAAUUUAAAAUUAAUUUAAAAUUUAAAAUUUUGGGACUAUCAAUAUAUUACAAUAGAAAUAAUUUAAAAGAUAGAUUGGUUGAUAAAUUUGGAAAUCAUAUUUUUGAAUAAAUAUGAUGUACAAAUUUAUGAUUAAUUUGUAAAAAAUUAUCUCAAAUAAGAACGAACGAUUAUGAUCAAUUUGUUAAAAAAAAAAAAUUUAUACGUAUCUAUAACUUCAAUUCUACGAACAGUUAUGAUCAAUUGGUUAAAAAUAUUAAAAAUAAAAAUAAAUUUUUAUAUUCAAUCUAUUAAAAAGUAGCACUUCAUUUAUUUAUUUUAUAUUAAAAUUUAAAUUUGAGUUUAAAUUGUAAAUUAAAUUAAAUUUUUAAUUUUUGAUAUCAAAUCUAUCCAUCUAUUUUAUAUUAAAAUUUAAAAUUGAUAUUGUAGAUAUUUUCUAAUAAAAUGUAACAUAUAAAUUUAUGUAAUAUUUUAUUCUAAAUUUUUGAAUAAAUAUGAUUUAUAAAUGCUUAUCGAUUUAAACAAAAUUAAAAUAAUUGUUACGUGCAGUUGCACGUACACUCAACUAGUCUAUACUAUAUAUAAAAGCACGUAUUUCAAAUUUCGGUUUGUCGACAGACCCAUUUUUUGGCGGAAAAAAAAUAUUGUUUCCUCUUUCCUUAGGUAAAAUAAAUAAUGUAAUGAAACAAACUUUUAAUUCCUCUUUAUUUCUACAACAGAAAAAAAUUUAUGCUUAUCCAAAUUUUUGCUAACCGGAGAAUAUCUACUGUGAAUCUAUAUUUUAAUUCAAAAUUUGUUAAUUGUUCUUUAUUUGUAUCUAUAAUAUGAUAUCUAUACUAUCUUCUAUACUAUAUAUAAAACCACACAAUAUCUAUACUAUCUUCUAUCCUAUAUAUAAAAACACAUAUUUCAAAUUUCGAUCCGUCGACAGACCUAUUUUUUUUGGGAAAAAAAAAAAGAUUCCUCUUACUUUACAUAAAGUAAAUACCGUAAUGAAAUAAACUUUUAAUUUCUCUUUAUCUUUAAAAUAGAAAAAAAAUAUACUUAUCCAAAUUUUUGCCAACUAAAAGAUAUCUACUAUGAUUUUAUAUUUUAAUUCGAAAUUUGUUUAAUUUCUUUUAUCUCUAAAAUAGAAAAAAAAAAUUCAUACUUAUCCAAAUUUUUGCCAGAACACCUACUUUAAAUCUAUAUUUCAAUUCAAAAUUUAAAAUUAAUUUAAAACAUUAAAUUUUGGGACUAUCAACAUAUUACAACAGAAAUAAUUUAAAAAAUAGAUUGAUUGAUAAAUUUGUAAAUCAUAUUUUUGAAUUAAUAUGAUGUAAAAAUUUAUGAUCAAUUUGUAAAAAAUAUCUUAAAUAAGAACGAACGGUAACGAUCAAUUUAUUAAAAAAAUAUUUAUCCCUAUUUAUAAAUUCAAUUCUAGGAAUAGUUAUGAUCAAUUGGUCAAAAAUAUUUAAAAUAAAAAUGAACGGUUUAUGAUCAAUCUGCUAAAAAAUAGCACUUUUAUCCAUCUAUUUUACACUAAAAUUUAAAUUUGAGUUUAAAUCGUAAAUUAAAUUAAAUUUUUAAUUUUUGAUAUCAAAAUUGAAAUAACAAUUAAAAACUUUUAAUUAUAUAAUGGAUCAAAAUUAAAUUUUAAAAUUUGAAAUAAAUGUCAAUUAAAUUUUGAUGCUUUUAGUUUAAAACACUUACUUAAAUCUUAGAUUUUUUAGAAAUUAAAAAAUAUAUAAAAAUAUUUAAUGCAUAUAGAAAAAGUAAUAUACGAUAUUGUAGAUAUUUUCUAAUAAAAUAUAACAUAUAAAAUUAAAAAAUAUUUUAUUUUAAAUUUUUGAAUAAAUAUGAUUUAAAAUUUUUUAUUGAUUUAAAAUAAAUUAAAAUAAUUGUUAUGUGCAUUUGCACGUACACUCAACUAGUAUAUAUAUAUAUAUAAUUAGUAUUAUAUAGAGAGAGAGACGAGAGAGAGAGAGAGAGAGAGUCCCGCACAUGCUAUUACAUAGCACGAAGCACUUGGUCUACCCAGUUUUUUCGCCGUUAGAUCUAAUCCUUGAUAUUUUCACCGUUAAGAUCAUACUUAUUCAACCAACCACACCACUUAAACCCUAAAGGCCCACAUCAUCCUAACGCCACAUUCUCUUAAUCUAAUGCUAAAAACUGUACACAAGUGCCUUGUUAUUAAUAAGGCAUAGUCGUCUAUUCCUCUCUUCUCUCUCUCUUCUUCUCUAUAUAUAUAUAUAUAUAUAUAUAAUCAAAGAGAGAGAGAGAGGUCUACUGCUCUCUCUCUCUCUCUCUCUCUCUCACAGCCAGCGGUCCACGAGGUGAAGCCCACCUCGUGGACCUCAUGCAACAUGGGCAUGUGUGAACCCCGCCAUUUUUCGGGUGGGCCUCACUUACCCCGUGGGAUGCGGAGAGCUUUCUCUCUCUCUCUCACAGCCAGCGGUCCACGAGGUGAAGCCCACCUCGUGGACCGCGUGCAAGAUGGGUAUGUGUGAACCCCGCCAUUUUUUUGGUGGGCCCCACUUACCCGGUGGGAUGCGGAGAGCUUUUUAUGGUUCCCAAUUCAUAAGAGUAUAAAUAUGCUUUAUAUUGGUUUUGCACAUGAAGUGUUAAUUGUUAGUAGUUUGGCAAAUUAAUUAGUUGGGGUGUCCAUUUUCGUCUAUAACAUCACAUGUGGAAUCUAAAAUGUGGACCCGCUAUAAAAGACCAAGUUCGAGAAACACGAUUUGUGUCACAUAUGUUCCCACAAGCCAAGUUGAUUGUGUACUAUUGAGAGAGAAAGAGACAGAGAGAGUAGUUGCAUAUUUCAAUAUGUUUGAAUCACACAUUUGAAAUUUAAGACUUUCUUGAGAUUCUCAUGUUGGUCUUUAUUCUCAUUAAUUUAUUAUUUGUGUUAAUGCCAAAAUUAAAAUUAACACGCCGACCUAACCCACAUAUGAGCUAAGGACACGUGGUACACCAAGAGUCGGCAACAGGGCGCCUGAAGGUCAAGAACGUUUAGGCGGAAACGGUUGAGAAAUGGGGCGUAACUUCCAUGUGAAGUGGGGCGUAACUUCCAUGAGAAGUGGGGCGUAACUUCCAUGAUCAUUGCUACACAACUUCCCCCACUACUAUAACCAAACAAUAAUAUGGGCUGAUAAGAUAUAAUAAAUAGUAACUUUGAAGCCCGUAAUAAGCGUCUUUCUCUCCCAUGAACGAGAAGACCACCGCAUUUUCAUAUCCUUCCUUUCCUGCAUUUAUUGCUUUCUAGGAGUAGUCUAAAUGUAAUCUUUUCUUUUUCGCAUUUACUGUUUUUCUUGGAGUAGCUUUUAAGUAGAACCCUGAAGUCUGUCUGCCCCACGAGCAUCACUCUAUUGUAAACUACAUAUUUGCAGAGUCUGUAUACCCUUCGGGCACACUGUUUUAUUAAUAUAUAUAUAGGCAUUCGGCUCUUUUAGCCAACCAGUUAUUGUGUAUUUCAUUUAUUCGGCUCUUUUAGCCGACCAGUUACUUUGUACUUCUUCCAUUCGGCUCUUCUGCCGACAUUGAUCCCUGCACAGUUCAUACAUUCGGCUCAUCCAGCCGAACCGAUUCAAAAGUAGAGGUUUUCGAACUCGGCUGAUCCGAUCCCUCAUCAGCCGAAUCGCUUGAUCCAGUCGAAAGGCGCACACUUCGAGGGUCACUAUUCACAGCCGUUUCGCACGCCGGUGAGGAAGAUCUUUAACCGGGUCAGGGAUUAGAGAAAUCGGCUACCAACAAUUUUGGCACGCCCGGUGGGACCCAAUUUUAGGUAAAUUUAUAUUUUUAUUGAAAUUAUGGCUGAUGAUAAUGGCAUGAAUUUGUGCAAUCGGGUUGUUCCUAGAAAUUCUGGAAGUGAUCAACCUAGCGAUUCAGACAAUACUAGCGAACGCCAAGCAGUUUCGCCAGUUGAAGGAGAAACUAGUGGAUAGUCGGCUUAUCAAGAGCCGACUCUAACUCAGGCGCUCGGCCAGAUGAUCCGAGUCCUGCAAACUAUAGAUCAAAAUAUUUAUCAAAGUACCGUUCAAUUAGACGCGGUAUUGGCAGCCAUCACGGCCUAUAAUGAAAAUAUUGUUCGAAUCAGACAGUUAUUUACCCAAAACGAGCAACCUUACGGGGGACAACAGGGGCCCCUAACUGCGCCGGCGCAACAAAAUUCAGUCACACCAGCGGUCUCACAUGCGCAACUGCAAAUGGCACCUUUCGAGGCUGCUUAUAGGCCGGCGAAUAUAAACGCUGGCCCGCAGUCGGAGAUUUCAUCCGGUUUACCUCCAUUACCAGCUUAUCAGCCCCAAAAUGCGGGGAUUAGAGCUGGGGGGCAGGCCCCUAAUGCUAUGCAACGAGCGAACCCUGCAAUACAGAAUUAUGGAGUUCCUCAAGGGCCGAAUCCGACUCAAGCACAAGCUCCGCUUCCCAUACAAAGGAAUAACAAUGAGCUGUAUGAUCAGAUUGAGGAAGUCAUCCGGAAUACCUUCGGAGUAGGGGCCAGGCCGGCUAUGCGGCCUGUUUUCCGAUCCCCGUAUCCCGCAAAUAUAGAUGCAGAGCAUUCUUAUCCGGCGAAUUGAAAAAUGCCAAAGUUUGACAAGUUUUCCGGAGAUGAGACCGAAAACACGGUCGAAUAUGUUGCACGGUUCACGGCACAGUGCCGGGAAGCCGCCACAGACCUAUUUUUGAAACUUAGGUUAUUCAACACCUCGUUAACCAAGACAGCUUUUACUUGGUACACGAGUCUACCCACUAAUUCCGUCCGAGAUUGGGACGAAUUAGAAGGAAAAUUUCAUGAGCAGUUUUAUAGAUCAGAACCAGAAUUGUCGGUAGCUGAUCUAACCGAAUUUAAACAAAGAACAGGCGAAUCGGUUGAAGAAUAUUUAAACCGAUUCAAGACGGCCAGAAGUCGAUGCUUUGUUAGGAUGUCGGAAUCAGAGUUCGCCAAAAUAGCGUUAAAUGGUCUGCAUUUUAAGAUAAAAGACCAUUUUGAAGAUAAAGAUUUUUCUAACCUAUUUGACCUAGGUGUUCGGGUUGCCCAAUAUGAGUAAUUCCGGAAGGAAAGUGAGGACGAUCGGCUGCAAUGGAGCCGAUAUAAAAAUCAAAGUAAAGGCAAGGAGAAAUCCUUAAUAGAAGAACAGUCGGUUCAAGAAGAGCCGAGCCAAUCGAGUGAAAGUGAAGAAUCGGCUGAUUAAGCCGAGAUAUAUGCGGCUAGUAAAGAGUCGCUUUCUUCAAGGAGAAAUCCUUGAUAGAAGAACAUUCGGUUCAAGAAGAGCCGAACCAAUCGAGUAAAAGUAAAGAAUCGGCUAAUGAAGCCGAGGUAUAUGCAGCUGAGAUGAUAAAGAGCCGUUUUCUUUAAGCCGACCAAAACCAGCGAAACUAAAGCUUAGGUGUAAUACACUGGAUCUUAGCAAAUUGCAAGAUUCGAGUGUUUGAUCUGUGUGUGGAGCCUUUCCACAGUUUUUGGAGGGUCGUUGAUAGUGUUCCGACCCCUGGCACGCAUCCCGAGGAUGUUGGAGUGAGACUUGGCACCAAAAUCCCAAAAUUGGAAUUUUUGGUCAGCUCUCGGGUAGCCUGCGGCAGGGCUUGUACCGGAACAAGACUGGUCUUGUACCGGUACAAGGGUUGAUGGUUGUACCGGUACAGCCAUCGGGCUUGUACCGGUACAGAGCCGCAGACCCACGCGCGACCGAGCUCGGUGUUUGGCAUAUUUCGUCGGCCCUUGUACAGGUACAAGAACCCGUGUACCAGUACCAGGAGGCAGUUUCGGCAGAAUGAACUGCAGGGUUUGUUGCGUUUGUUAGCCUUCUAUUAGUAAUCCCACGCCCUAGGGCAUCUCCUGAGCUUGGAACUGCGGCGAGAAAGGUGAGGAGCACCUCCACACCUUCCUUUGUGUGAUUUCUUGAUUUUUGGUUGGGGUUUUAAGAGAUUAAACUUCAUUUUUGCUCUUUUGCUUUGUUGGAAGCUUUUCCAUCAUUGAGAGCUUGAUAUUUGGAGCUUUGUAGAGUGGAAGAUCUUGGGACUUGGAUAGUUUAGAGCUUGGAUUGAAGCUUCUAAGAGGUAAGCAACAUGUUCUCUCCCUCUAGAUUCAAGUUUUAUUGGGAUUUUGAGAUUGAAACCCUAGAAUGAGGUUUAGGGUUAAUAUUGGGGGAUUUUGAAUCUAGGGCUUUUGAGCUAGAUUGAGUGAUUAGAGGCUUCCAUUGGUUGGAUUGGAUGAGCCCUAGCUUCAUUUUGGAGUUUUAGAGGAAUUUUUGCACAAGGUGAGUUAUUCCUUCACCUAUGAUUGAUUAGCUAAUGUUUGAGCUAGGUAUUCGUGUUCGUUCGGCUCGUAUGACUCAUGUUCUUGUACCUCUUAGGGUAUAGGAGAUAGAGGACACCCUCGUUGGAGCGCACGAGGAUUUCGUUGUCAUCGAGUGGGUUUGGCUUCGUGGAAAUGGGGCGAAAUGGCCCCUAUGCUCUUUCUACUUGUUGUAAUUAUUUUUUUAAGUUCAUUUCUAUGCUAAAUGGAAUCUAUAUGAAUUUUAGAGCACUUAAAAUGCAUGCCUCGUGUAUUAUGAAAAUUUCACUAUAUAGUAGAGCUAUAUGAUAGAAUGCAUGCAUACGGAAAGUGUUUUAUUUUGCAAGUAAAAAAUACAUCUCUUAUGAGAUAUUAUGACUUGAUUUUAUGACUUUGGAACAUAGUUACCAUGUUUUUGACAUAGAGAACCAGAGUGUCAUAAAGGGGCAUUUGAAACUAGUAAACUAUGAAACUGCAACAUAGAGACAUAUUGGUAGGCCACUACAUAUCUGCCUAUUAUUCCAUGUUAGAGACAUGAUGACAUAGGGAUAGGCCUUUGAGAUACUUGACACAUUCCAUGUUAUUAGACAUGAGGACUUGGUACUUGCGACAGAUCGUUUGACACCUUGCCAUUGUGCUCAUUCGCACAUGCUUGUGAGGGUCGCUCCCUACAAGCCGGCACUCGGAGAUGGCCAUCGCGAUUCAUUUUCGCCGUGCGGGACUGGGCGCCGAAGUGGAUUGCGUGGGACAGGCUCAUUCCUAGGGAGGGAUGAUGACUACCACGGGGCCAUAGGCUCGGCACGCCAGACAGCCUACGGGUGGGUCUCUAGGGCCAUAGACAGCCUUCGGUGGGUCUCUUCAGAUUUGACUUUGUGUAUCCAUUAUGACAUGUGGCACAGAUGAGGAUUUAGUAUACUACUUGGACAUUGAUUAGAAUAUUAAACAACGGAACUUUACUAUUUUCACAUUGUGAACAUCAUGAUAGUUGGAGACAUUUACUUCAUGCAUAGUUGCUUUCAUACUUAUGCUAUUUAUGCAAGUAGAGAUAUCAUGUCGUAAGUAGGUUACAUUUUUACUUACCUUUCGCUUUUCUACUUUUAUAGUCACUGACAUCUUUUCGUAGCUUUGGGCUUGUGGUGCAUUCACUGAAGUCAGUAAUUGCCCACUGGGAACUAUUUCUAAUAGUUCUCACGCCCCUGUUUUAUGGUUUACUUUUCAGAGUGUUCGGCACCGGCGGAGGCACGGGAUCGCGGCAAGGGGAUCGCUUAGCUAGCUAGCGAGGAGCGGUACUUUGCCUAGGUGGUUUACUCCUUCUUUUUGUAGUUGAGAGAGAGAGUGAGAG
rnacentral:lncRNA from 1 species